AUGUCUCUGUCUGGACAUACCCAAGACCAAGCAUCUCUUUCUGUUUACAACUUUACACCGACCUCCUUUGUUACACCCAAAUACUGAUCGUUGAUCACAAUCGUGCCACUACCGAUUCUUCCAUGUCUUCCACUACUGUAUAAGUGACAUUGAAAGAGUUUGACUCUAUCAAAGUUCAAACACUGAGAUGCAAAGGAGGAGACCACGAAUCAAUUUGUGUUUGUUUUGGAAAAGGUUUAAAACAGAACAGCAGCUAAAGUGCCAAAGCUCCAGAGUUUAAACUCAAGGGGAAACGUUCUAGACGGUUAGAGAGGUACAGUUAAGAGUUUGGAAGACAGGUUGUGCUAUUUAGACUUUUGUUGUGCUAUCUACAACAACUCAGCUGAAAUUUCAAAGGAGCUAUCAUCUGUUGCAAAUGAUGAAUCCGACUUUGUAGACACAUUUGAGGAGCUUAUGUAAAAUAGUUGGUCGCCACUACAAGCCAAAAUAGCAUAUCUAACUUUGAAAUCUGGCUAAGUUACCAGAUUUUUGAACAUGUAAAAUAAUAUAUAAGAUAUAAUGUAGUAAUGUAAUAUAAACAAAUGUUACUAAAUUCAGUAGCAUUGAAUCGAACGACAUUGAUCAUGUUCCCGCAGCA